GUGGUCUUCUCCGGAGACUCCAGAGUUCAAUUCUCCGUUCCUCUUGCCCCUCGCUGCUCAACUUUGCUGCUUUUCUUUGCGCCCCCAAUUCCGAAAUCAGGGGAAUGCCAGGGUUCUGUAAUUGGGAUGUACAAGUCUUAAGUUUGCAACUUGAGGAAUUGUCACAAAUGAACGUACCUAUGUAACGAGGACCCCAAUGAAAAAGCAGAUGACCAGCACCUGAGAAGUACCACCCCCCACCAGUGACUAUCCCACCCAAAGAUUCUUUGGGUGAGAGGCAACUACAGUAGCAGUGAUGGCAGAAGCUUCUGAUCCUUCCUGGAUUGCUCCAACGUGUUUGCGAAUUAAAUCUAUUUGGUAGCAGCCUCCAUGGUGCUCCAGGAGUCAUCCUUGGAUGCCCGGCCUAGACUCUUCCUCUAGCCCUUCUGACACUUCUGCAAGCACCCAACUGCCUCUACUUAAGUCCCAUGGUGCCUGAAACAUCUAGAAUGACUUCUGCUUUCUACACUGAACCCCAAUAUAGAGAAGAAUGAUCAAAGAUGUAGAGGUGAAAAGGUUUGUGGUAUAACAUGGAACAAGGAAGAAAUCAGCUUGACUGAAGAAACAGGGUUGGGGAGCUCAAGGAUGGAGAUAUACUGGAACAAUGUGGUCAUAUCCAGACUCUGGAAGCCUUUCGUGCCACGAUGUGGAGCUGAGACUAGGUCUGGUAGGAAAUGGCUAUCACCGUGGAGUCAGAAUAGGGUAGAGGGGGAUAGAGUGGAACAUGUAAGGGCUGUAAGCAGGAAGACUAAUUCGAGGAUAUUGCAAUGGCAGGGUUUGAGAUGAGGAGGGCUUAGAAUAAAGUAGAGAGGCUGGAGUGAAAAAGGAAAAAGUAAAUUCAAAGGUACAAGAAAAGACUGAAAGUUGAGGAUAACAUAUAAAAGAGGCAAUAUCCCGGACAUCAAAAGUUCACUUGGUUAAAACGCUAAUUUGUCACAAAAUAAAUAUAACUGCAAUGGACAUACGUAUAAUCUCAGGAGCUACAACUUUAUUCAACUGAUGUUAAAAUUUGUAUUUUUCUCACUUGGUUUCUUCCUCUUACAGGCGGGUGGGGAUAGGUUUGGUAAAACAGCAUCAAAGUUAGACAAACUGGUUCUGAUCCAUCUCUAGGCUCCACCUGCUGACACUGCUCCCUUUCACUGCUGAAUCACUGCAGACAGUGUCCAAGUAAAAUAAUAAUCCCUGAGAUUCUGGAAUGUUGCCCUAUCCUGGCAGUGUAAACCUAGCAAAAGAAAGGCCAAGAGUGAAGAAACGUCCCCUGAGAAGUCUGCUCCCAAGCCACCAAAGUUUCUGCCCUAGUUCCCAGGCUAGUCAAGCUCUCUCAAGUUAUAGUAAUUGUUCCUCUUUAUUGAGAGCCUACUAUGCCCAAGCACUGAGCCAAGAGAUUUCCAUCUGGCAAUCUCAUUUACCACCAUGACAAUCUUUACAGUAAACACUUUCUUCAUAAUUAGACAAAUGAGAAAACUGAGGCUCAGAAAGUGGACAAAAAUUUUGACUAAUUUGUAUAACCAAUUUAUACCAUCACCUUAAAACUGGAAAUAAGGGUGAAUUACAGAACUUAGGAGAAGACAAUUGGCUCACCCUCUCCUACCCAGAUAACAGAUAAACUCUCAAAUAUGGGUUGUCAUUGGUCAGGCAUUAUCAUUAUUACAUACUUUAGAAAAAGUAUAAAGGAAAUA